UACGUAGGGGGCAAGCGUUGUCCGGAUUUAUUGGGCGUAAAGAGCGUGUAGGCGGCCAUGCAGGUCCGUUGUGAAAACUCGAGGCUCAACCUCGAGACGCCGGUGGAAACCGUAUGGCUAGAGUCCGGAAGAGGAGAGUGGAAUUCCUGGUGUAGCGGUGAAAUGCGCAGAUAUCAGGAAGAACACCCGUGGCGAAGGCGGCUCUCUGGGACGUGACUGACGCUGAGACGCGAAGGCGUGGGGAGCAAACAGG
rnacentral:rRNA from 1 species